UCACAUUCGAUGCAUGACCAUAAAAGAUGUUACUCAUAGAAAUAGAACAACCAUUAUUCUCAGACUUAAAAGAGUAACCGUCUCGCAAUAAACAAGAUCCAGAUAUAAUGUUCAUGCUCAACGCAGGCACUAAAUAACAAGGAUUUAAGUUCAUCACUAAUCCCGAUGGUAGCUGAAGUGACACUGUGCCGACGGCGAUUGCAUCAACCUUGGAACCAUUUCCUA
rnacentral:lncRNA from 1 species